rnacentral:rRNA from 1 species
AGAGUUUGAUCUUGGCUCAGGAUGAACGCUGGCGGUAUGCUUAACACAUGCAAGUCGAACGGUUAUAGCAAUAUAGCAGUGGCAGACGGGUGAGGAACACGUGGGAAUAUUCCUUUCAGUACGGAACAACUCAGGGAAACUUGAGCUAAUACCGUAUACGCCCUACGGGGGAAAGAUUUAUCGCUGAAAGAUUAGCCCGCGUCUGAUUAGCUAGUUGGUGAGGUAAUGGCUCACCAAGGCGACGAUCAGUAGCUGGUCUGAGAGGAUGAUCAGCCACAUUGGGACUGAGACACGGCCCAAACUCCUACGGGAGGCAGCAGUGGGGAAUAUUGGACAAUGGGCGCAAGCCUGAUCCAGCCAUGCCGCGUGAGUGAUGAAGGCCUUAGGGUUGUAAAGCUCUUUUGUCCGGGAAGAUAAUGACGGUACCGGAAGAAUAAGCCCCGGCUAACUUCGUGCCAGCAGCCGCGGUAAUACGAAGGGGGCUAGCGUUGUUCGGAAUCACUGGGCGUAAAGCGCACGUAGGCGGACUUUUAAGUCGGAGGUGA